rnacentral:rRNA from 1 species
CACAUGCAAGUCGAGCGGAAAGGCCCUUCGGGGUACUCGAGCGGCGAACGGGUGAGUAACACGUGAGCAACCUGCCCUAGGCUUUGGGAUAACCCCGGGAAACCGGGGCUAAUACCGAAUAGGACCUGACUCCGCAUGGUGUUGGGUGGAAAGUUUUUCGGCCUGGGAUGGGCUCGCGGCCUAUCAGCUUGUUGGUGGGGUGAUGGCCUACCAAGGCGACGACGGGUAGCCGGCCUGAGAGGGCGACCGGCCACACUGGGACUGAGACACGGCCCAGACUCCUACGGGAGGCAGCAGUGGGGAAUAUUGCACAAUGGGCGGAAGCCUGAUGCAGCGACGCCGCGUGAGGGAUGACGGCCUUCGGGUUGUAAACCUCUUUCAGCAGGGACGAAGCGUAAGUGACGGUACCUGCAGAAGAAGCACCGGCCAACUACGUGCCAGCAGCCGCGGUAAGACGUAGGGUGCGAGCGUUGUCCGGAUUUAUUGGGCGUAAAGAGCUCGUAGGCGGCUUGUCGCGUCGACUGUGAAAACCCACAGCUCAACUGUGGGCCUGCAGUCGAUACGGGCAGGCUAGAGUUCGGUAGGGGAGACUGGAAUUCCUGGUGUAGCGGUGAAAUGCGCAGAUAUCAGGAGGAACACCGGUGGCGAAGGCGGGUCUCUGGGCCGAUACUGACGCUGAGGAGCGAAAGCGUGGGGAGCGAACAGGAUUAGAUACCCUGGUAGUCCACGCUGUAAACGUUGGGCGCUAGGUGUGGGGGGCCUCUCCGGUUCCCUGUGCCGCAGCUAACGCAUUAAGCGCCCCGCCUGGGGAGUACGGCCGCAAGGCUAAAACUCAAAGGAAUUGACGGGG